rnacentral:rRNA from 1 species
GACAGAGGUGCCAAGCGUUAGGCGGAAUCACUGGGCUUAAAGCGUGUAUAGGCGGACUUCUAAGUACCUUGUGAAAUCCCCCGGCUCAACCGGGGAACGGCUGGGUAUACUGGGAGUCUUGAGCCAGCUAGGGGUCGCCGGAACAAGUGGUGGAGCGGUGAAAUGCGUAGAUAUCACUUGGAACGCCAAUGGUGAAAACAGGCGACUGGGGCUGUGCUGACGCUGAGACACGAAGGCCAGGGGAGCGAACGGG